AUAAUAAUCUGAUAUCCAUGGAUGUUUUAAACUGAUUCUCUUGUAAAAUAAAAAUAAAGAAUUUGUAAAAGAAUAAAAGAGAAAAAGCUGCUUGAGCUAAUUUGGUGAUGAUGGAAACAUAAUUAACAGAAAUUUAAAUUGGCCUAAUGUCCAUAUCAUCUUGGAGUUUAAAGAAUUGAUUAAGAAAACUCCAGCAGACUUCAUGUCUUUCCAAAACGAUGCCAUAUUGGCCUUUAUGGAUCCUCCUACAUGCAGGGAAAAUCUACCUGCUCUGAUUUGACUUUUCUGCGCAGAACGAGUGACGUAACUGACAAAGUUCUGACUGACCUGAACGAACAGACUGACGUUUACUUGACCUUUUCCUUCCAGCAGGAUUUUCUCCAGGACGCUACUCUGCUUCCACACAGGGAUGGUUGCUGUGUUUCAUAAUGCCGCUAACUCUCAUGCCAUUAACCAGAAACACCUUUAUUUUCCUGAUAACCAGGACUGAUGAUGUGGAUCUGCCUACAGGAGAAGACGUCUAUACUAAAUCUCUUUUGAAUAUGUGUAUGAUAUUUCAAAAUAAGGCAUUUCUUGUCCUCUAUGUCUUGUCUUGAAGUCCCUUUCAGACAGCAAUAACAUGCAAAUCUGUCUGGCAUUAAAA